CCAUAAUUGUGUUUAUGUAUUGCAGGAUACAGUAAAAGCUUGUUAGUUCGAAUUCCGCGGGGAUGCUAUGAAAAUUCGAAUUAUACAAAAUUCGAACUAAUGAAAGUCAA
rnacentral:lncRNA from 1 species